rnacentral:lncRNA from 1 species
UUGAACACACCUUGUGCUGAGUGCAAUCCACAGAAGUCAAAAACAGUGUUUUCUUUGCCCUCCUCCAAAAUAUCUACAGUAUAAAUGUCCUGUAACCAAGCUAUGAAAAAUCAGUUCUGUGUGCGAGGGGCUGCAAGAAUGGAAUUCCCAUCUUUGCAGACACGUCUGCAAUCUCUUUUUCCCUGUGUGUCAGACUGGCAAUAGCAGAAUAUCCUCCUCCCACCUAUAUACAGUAAAUCCACAGUAGUAAAGUGCUGGUGUGCUUGAAUGAAUUUGAUAGCCAUGCGACUACUUUACCAUCGAUAGGGGCUGAGUUUUGGGGGUAGAUGUUUCAUAUGGGUACAGUUCUCCAACAGUAAUAGCACUGCAAUAUCGUAGAACUUGAGCUUAGCUGCUUACUUCUAAAUGCGACCUGGAGGUAAGCUCUGAAACUAGGCUAUACACGUUGUAAUACAGUAGCUCUGGCUCCAGGUUUAUGUAAAGAAACUUGUAGAUAAGAGCUGCUUCUGUUCCCAAGAUGCUACGCAGACUUUUAACAAUUUCUCUAUAGAUUUCUACAAAAAUAUAAAAAGUUCUAUCAACAUAACCAUUCUACAGAAUUCCUGUGGAUUUUGUACAUUUUGCUUAAAAAAAGUCAAAUUCUAUAAAACCCCCCCAAAAGGUAUUUAAAAUUAUCUUAAGAUUAUUGCACACGCUGCAGUACAUUUGUAUUUGUCUUUCAAAAGGGCAUCUAGAAAAAACUUGUCUGGUUUAGAAAACAAACUAUUUUACAUGGAUUUCUUUUCCUGAAUGCAUAAUCUUAGAGUAGUUUUUUAUUGGCUCAUCUUUACUGAAUAGUCACGUGUGAUGUAAACUUUUUGUUAGUUCCACAAACCUUGUCAGUGGGCAAAACCUCAGAUAUUGGAAAUAGAAGAGCCUUUAGGCUUUCUGUUACAUUUGGAGUUGAGCAUUUGGAUUUACAUCACCGUUUUGUGCCAUGAUUUCAAGCUAAAAUGUUAGGUGGGUUUUUUGCAAGGAAGGAAACUGUACAAGUAGUAUCAUUUCAGCUAUACAAACACAAUCCCAAUCAUUAAGGAACCAAGGUUGGCAAUUUUAGUGGCCUAGCUAUUUUCCCAAAUCAUUUAGUACAUGUGAAAGGAAAAGCUAAGGCUCAUUAUGAGGGUAAAACCAAAAAGGGAUUAAGAAUAUUUCUCAGGCUUAAUACACUGUAAUUUUAUUAUUUCCUUAAAUGUGAUCUGGGCGAAGAAAUGAUGAAAGGUUUGUUUGAAAUCAUUGCUUUGAACGGGCUUAAGUUUGGAUUUGGACUGGCAUAUCAAAGAGAGCGGUCUCUGUGUGGGCCUGCGUUGAAGAGGGGAAAAAUGUCCCAGCCAAGAAUUAAUCUAAGUAAGUGCAGUAAAUAGUACAGAAUGUUAAUCCUCCUACUUCAAAUACACCAAUUGCCUGACUUCCUGCUGAAUGCCCUUACAUUUCUCCAGGAUAUCUAAAUCAAUAGGGAUUGUUUAUGGAGUAAACAUCCGCAAGUGAAAAUAAAGGAGCUUAAGACCUCACAUAGGCUGUUAGGUAGAACAGCGUCUUCUUCUUUCAUGGAUACUCGAAGCUAAUGCAGAUAGAUGUAGUCGUAACAGUCUAAUCUCUGAAUGUUGUAGUGAUUCGAAAAGAUCAGUAGUUCUCCAAAAGUUACAAACUCCCAACUGACAGAAUUAGCACAAAUCCUCCUCUUGCCUGUGCUGGUUUAAAGACAUGAUCCAGCAAAGCCCUACCCAUGUACGCAGUUCGAAACCUCUGACUAUUCUCACACUUCAAAGCAUGCCUUCAGUCUUAUUUAACCUACAUCUGAAUGUGAUUUCAUGGAAGUUGAGUGAAUUAAUGUCUGGUUUCCACCAGUGAAGAGCGGGAGGUGUCGAACCGGGCCAACCUCUCAUGGUUUUCAAGCUGUGCUGUCCAGUUUUACAGAUUGCUUUUUGCAGAGGGCAUUAACAGGGAAGUAAACACUUAAUUUCUGAGAUGAAUGACAUGAAGGACAUGUUAUAACGUAAGGACAUGAGUUCUGGUUUUAUCUACUUUGUAUCAUGAUGUUGCUGCUUAAGGCUUUUGAUAGAUUAGCAAUAACGUUACAGUCAGGGUCAUGUAAAUUAACUCUAGCAGUGACAGCAAAAAAAAGACUUUUUUACUGAAAAUCAACAGUUAUUUCAGUACCUACAGACUUUCUUACACAUAAUCUGUAAUAACUUUCAGUAGGCCUUGAUUCUGUUGAACACAUAAGCAUAUGAUAUUAAUUUUCAAGAACUACUUAAAUACGAUCAACCUCAAGGCAGUUUAAGUAAGAGCUUAACUUUAAACAUGUGCUUAAGCCCACUGUUGUGUCAUGUCUGCACUGAAUUCACCCACCAGGUCUUAAAUAUGGCCUUACUCUCCUUUCCUUGUGGGCAUGGAAAGGAGGAGCUCCACUGCAAACAGUGGGUUUAAAGAGGUGUAAAACUCAGCAAAAGAAAUAGUCUAUCUUGGAGACACUGGAAAAACAUCUCAGGAAUGACCACAGUCUUCUGCUGUCUCAAUUUCCUUGGAAGGUAUGAAAAUUAGCCAUUGACAUGAGUUUGUGUGUCACCAGUGGAUGAUCUACAAUACCCUUUAAUGAUUCAGUAUGGUGUGCAGUUAAAUGGCUCUACAUUCACCAUUUUCAGAUGUUCACCAUCUAUCUGCAGGUUGGACCUUCCUGGGUUUGUGCACUUGCUUUCACACUGCAUGUUCAUUUUGUGCAAGAUUGGAAUAUUAUUCUAUUAAAAAAAUUGGCACUGCAUUUCUACACUAUCCAAAAAAUCUUUUCCCAGGAAUAUCAUUGAAGUCCAAGGGGAAAAAUAAAUUACAUUAAAUAAUCCUUAUUUACUGCUGACUGUGGGAUACAUUUCCUCUGUAAUGCACUAAUUUGCUACAUUUUGUGCUUUGCAAAACAAACUGAAACCCAAACAAAACAAAACAAAAAAAAAAAAAAAAAGAGAAGGGAUUAAAUAGAUUUUUUUUUUUGUUUAGGUUAAAAUAUUUAUAAAAACCAACUUUAUCUCAGAAAUAUUCUGAGAUACAUAAAAUAGAAGAAAAUUAAAUGAGUCUUUAGUCACAAAAUGUACUACAUCCCGCAAGACUAGAUUCAAUUAAUUUAAUAAAAUAUAAUAUACAUAUAGAUUCUGCACAUUGUAUUGCUUUUACCUAAGCAGAACAUAUGCUUAAGUAAGCGUGAUAUAGGUUAACCACUUCUUUAACCAGCUGGUUCUUUAAUCUUUCUUUGGAAAUUUUUUACCCAGUGCCAUUUUGGAAUACAGAGUUUCUUUAGGUUUUUCUUUUUCUAUUACAUGAAAGGAAGAAAACAUUUGGCACCAACAGAAAAG